UUUAGCAUUCAAAGCAUUUUUUUACGAGCUUUUAUUUAAGCAAACACUGAACGAUUAUUACAGUUUUCAUAGUACAACCUGGAAGACUUUUUAUUUUAUUUUAUCUUAUUUUAUUUUAUUUUUAUUCCUACACCUACUCCCACCACUAACUCCUCUACUGCACAUCACCAACUUCCCUACUGCAAUACACCCACUACACCUACUCCUUUACAGGCAAUCAAGCCAUGCCUUUACAGUCAGACUCCUCAUCUGCAAUACAACUAUACAUCAACCAAGUUUCUGCCUUUUUCCAUUAGGCACAAAUUAAUUGAUCACUCACCACAUAUCACUUCGCAAGAAAGAAACUCAGAUUCAUAAGUCUAUACAAAAUAUAUAUUCCAAGCUCAUCUCCUUCAACAAUUCAGCAGCAAACGAUCAGCCCUCUCAUUCAAGGCUUUGAGCAUCAGAAGGAUUAGCACUGCUAUUCCGAUUCAGAGAUAAGGUUAAACGACAGGCUUUGCCUAUACAGGUUGAGCAGUUGAUGGAAUGGAAUGAUGUUGAGCGGGUGUUCCUUUGACAUUUCAAGAAAUGUAACCUUGAGUAUACAUCUUCAUAUGUAUAUCUCACACGUUUUCCGCUGCAAAACACUUUGAUUAGGAUAACUUUAUGUUAUGAAAUUAUGACACGUGUUAUUGGGUAACCCACCUUAAUCAGUUCUCAUUUAUGUGUAUGUUUUAUAAGUAUCCAAAUAAUCAUAUAUGAUCCUAGCAUUUUAUCUA